UACGGAGGGUGCAAGCGUUAUCCGGAUUCACUGGGUUUAAAGGGUGCGUAGGCGGAUUUGUAAGUCCGUGGUGAAAUCUCCAGGCUUAACCUGGAAACUGCCGUGGAUACUAUAAAUCUUGAAUGUUGUGGAGGUUAGCGGAAUAUGUCAUGUAGCGGUGAAAUGCAUAGAUAUGACAUAGAACACCAAUUGCGAAGGCAGCUGGCUACACAAAUAUUGACGCUGAGGCACGAAAGCGUGGGGAUCAAACAGG
rnacentral:rRNA from 1 species